rnacentral:rRNA from 1 species
CUCCGCCGGCGACCGGCGCACGGGUGCGUAACGCGUAUGCAACCUACCUUUAACAGGGGCAUAACACUGAGAAAUUGGUACUAAUUCCCCAUAACAUUCGAGAAGGCAUCUUCUUGGGUUAAAAACUCCGGUGGUUAAAGAUGGGCAUGCGUUGUAUUAGCUAGUUGGUGAGGUAACGGCUCACCAAGGCAACGAUACAUAGGGGGACUGAGAGGUUAACCCCCCACAUUGGUACUGAGACACGGCCCAA